UACGGAGGGGGCUAGCGUUGCUCGGAAUCACUGGGCGUAAAGCGCACGUAGGCGGCUUUCUAAGUCAGGGGUGAAAUCCUGGAGCUCAACUCCAGAACUGCCUUUGAUACUGAGGAUCUUGAGUUCGGGAGAGGUGAGUGGAACUGCGAGUGUAGAGGUGAAAUUCGUAGAUAUUCGCAAGAACACCAGUGGCGAAGGCGGCUCACUGGCCCGAUACUGACGCUGAGGCACGAAAGCGUGGGGAGCAAACAGG
rnacentral:rRNA from 1 species